rnacentral:lncRNA from 1 species
GGCAGCAAAUUCAAAAGCAUGACACACCGGGUUGAUGCGAUUGACAAAGAGAACUUCACAUUCAGCUACACUGUGGUUGACGGAGAUGUUUUGACAGGCGGCAUUGAAUCAAUUUCUCAUGAGCUCAAAGUGGUGGCUUCUCCUGAUGGAGGAUCCAUCUACAAGAACACCAGCAAGUACCACACCAAGGGCGAUGUAGAGAUCAGUGAAGAGCACAUUAAGGGUGGCAAAGAAGAGGCUCUGGCAUUGUUCAAGGCUAUUGAAGCCUACGUCCUGGCACAUCCCGAUGCCUAUUAAGUAAAAUUGCCUGUAGCAAUUGAGAUAUUAGUCUCUUGAGUCCACCUUCAUAUUCAUAGCAUCAUUUGUGUUUUUGCCAUAUGGCCAAAGCAGCCUCGGCUUCAAAAUAAGACUUUCCUAGGUUUGAUCCUUGAAGUACUUGUAAUGUUUUAUUGCAAUGAAGAGUCUUUGCUGCAUGUAUUACCUUAAUAAAUAUAUUGAAAAUCAUCUUUUCACUAAUUAAGAAAUAUUUUGGCACUGCACCAACUACAAAUUAGUCAAUAGAUUGUUGUUAGGGAAUUACUGCAGGGAGCAAUUUAUUUUGACUUGUGCAUGAUGGUGUAGACCGGAAAUACUUUAAUUGAAAAACCAUCUUUUAAUUUAUCUUUUUUUUAAAUGGUUUUUAUUAAAUGAUUAUUUAAUUUAUUAUGACACCAUGGCUUGAUAGAAAUGGGGUUAAGACCCAAUUCUUCAAUUUAAUAGAAAACAACACUUACCAACCGGUUAAUGAUGGAAAUCUAACCCUCCACAUAUUUUAACAUUAGAAAAUGACUCAUUCUUGACAAAAAUAGUUCUUAGCCCAUUCUUUAUUAUUUCCAUUCCAAAGGUUUUGAAGUUAACUAUUAUCAAGAUCAUUGUGAGAAAACUUAAUGACCAUGAAGAAACAAAGAAUUUCCAUUAAGGCUUUAUACAUGUCCUAUGACAAUACAAAAAAGUAAUUUAUAUUUUCAUUUGUAUGGGCAUCCAAAAAAAAGGAUCGCUAUUACAACUUCCAUCUAUGUGUUUAUCCUAUCACCAUAUACAAAAUAAAUAAAUAAAAAAUACAAUUUCUAUGCCUUGUUAGUCCAUAAGAUGCUAAAGCUAUAAUGAUCUCAAGGAUUGAUUAUUUGUAUUUUUUUUAUUAUGGCCAUAUUGACCACAUCAACUACAAUGAUGUGUGCUCUUACUUUUUUCAAUAGGGAAUCUUUCUUUGAUCUUCUUGUUAGUUCUUUGAUCUUCUUGUUAAUAGUCUUGUUUAAAAUAUUAUCUUACCCAUAUCACUUGUAGCUGGAUAGAUAGACAAAGAAUAUUAAGAUAACAAUAAGUUAGUAGUAAAGUAUUGGGAGCAUAAAGUAUGAUAUAAAAUGUUAUAAUAACCACAUGCAACAAUAGCUUAUGCAUAUGAAAUAUGAUGAAGAUCAAAUUCUUAACAUUUUCACAAACUAGCAUCUAAAUUUAGAUGGUUCUAUAUUGGCGAUUGAUCCCUUGAUGUGUUUCUCUUAUCUCACUAACCAAUCAAUUACUUGCAUGUCAAUGGUCACAGGACAUUAUGGCUACCAUGUGAUUAUACAUUGAAUAGUAUUUCUUUAUCUAAAAACAUAUUAGAACUUCCCAAUUUGGUUUUACAAAUUUACCACUUGCAUUUUUAUUAAAAUAUUCAAUAAAUAAUAACUUAUUGUCUGUUUAGAUACACUUCAUGUUUUCUAUUUUUUUUAAAGAAAAUAUUAAUAACUUUUCCAUAAUGUUUUAUUGCAAUGAAGAGCCAUUGUUGUUUUACCUUAAUAAAUAUAUUGAAAAUCAUCAUUUUACUAAUUAUGCAAUAUCUAGCACUGCACUAAGUCCAAUUUAGUCACUAAGAUUAUUGUUAAUGAAUUUUUGCAGAGAGCAAUUUAUUUUUACAUAUGCAUGAUAGUGUAAUUGGAAAUACUUUAUUUAUAAUACCAUCUUUAUUUUAUUUUUAUAAAAAAUGGUUUCUAUUAGAUGAUUCUUUAAUUUAUUAUAACACAAUAUUGACUACCUUAGGACCAUAAUAGAGUUAGGACCCAAUCCUUCAAUUUAAUAGAAAUGAACACUUACCAACAAAUCAAUGACACCUACCAACAAGUCAAUGAGGGAGAAAUAAUUCUAAUUUUACAAAUCUAACUCUCCAUAGAUUUUAAUCUGAAAAAUGACCCAUUUUUGACAAAUAACCCUUUUAACUAUGAUCAAUUAAUCAAGUAACCCUUUUGAUUUUCUUUUCUUGCUUUACAGGAACUUGCUAAGCCGGAACUGUAGUUUUCCCGUAAGUUAGUUCUCUGAAUUGAUUUGCCAAUCUGUAAAUACCACACUGGCCUCUGUUUUACUGCACUCCAGAAAUUUUCCCACUAUAUCCCAAUCUACCUAUUUAUGAUCUUCCAGGGUCAUUCCAAGUUACAAUUAUGAAGUAUAGUUUAUGGGAUUUGUCUCUAUAGCUAUUCUUUUUUCAAACAUGUUGGAGUAGUUGCAGCCAAUGUUGAAUAGAGAAAAAGCAAUUCUAAUAGUUUAAAAGAAUAGCAAAGCCGCCGGGAAUAUAAAAGAUGCUUUUCAAUAUCCCCGAAUUUGUUUCCUCAAUUUAAAGGGACUUAUCCAUUUGUUUUGGCCUGCAUUUCUAGAAUGGGCUUAUAUCACUCUCCAUGACUCACCGUUCCAUAAUGUUUGACUAAUAAUGGGUGUGCCACCAACCACCAAUAUAUGAAGAAAAGUAGCUCGAAUGCCCCGACUGUUAGUGUUUGAAUCCAAGGAAAAUAUCCAUUUCCUGUUUCAUUCUACAUAUUAUUUACCUGUAAAUGCACCGAAAGUAAAGCACUAGUCUCAGAUGUCUUCUGAGUAAAAGGAUAACUUUCUCACUUGUUAAUAACAUAAUUAAGAUCCACGUAUUUGUUUUGUUUUGUUUUGUUUGGUUGGCUUUAUUAUUAAUAUUGUUUUUUUUAAUCAAAAUCUUUUCCUCUUUUUUCGAAUUUGUAAGAACUUUCUAGGUCAUAACGGGGAGUAGACCACCACUUGAAAUUAACCUGCUCAUUUCCGCAUAAGAUCAUAGUAUUUCUUUAUUAAAAACUAGUGGAUUACUUUGAACCUUCCUCAGAUGAAGCUGCCUCUACCUUUGAAAACUUGAGACACACCUUCACACAAGGGAACCUUGACACACCUUCACACAAGGGAACCUUGGUCCAAUCCAUCUAUAAAUACCACCCUAGUUCUCACAUCUCUCCUCACCUCGAACCACUCUCUGCAAUCCAAUCAAUCCUCCUUCUCUUCCUCUUUUGAUCCUUUUCAUUUCAAGCUCUAAGAUCAUGGGUGUUUUCACUUACGAGCAGGAGAUCACUUCUUCAGUUCCCCCGGCCAAGAUGUUCAAGGCCGCUGUCCUUGAUGCUGACAACCUCAUUCCCAAGGUCAGGCCUCAAGCUAUCAAGUGCGUGGAAGUCAUUCAAGGAGACGGAGGCCCUGGAACCAUCAAGAAGAUUCACUUUGGUGAAGGUUAGUUUCUAUUAUAAUAAUUGCAACCCAUAUAACUAUCAGUGCAUGUUAACAGAAGAGACUAAUGGGGGUUCUGUUUUUUUUUUUUUUAUCUUUCUGGUUUCCAGGCCACAAAUUCAAAAGCAUGACACACCGGGUUGAUGCGAUUGACAAAGAGAAAUUCUCAUUCUGCUACACUGUGAUCGACGGGGAUGUUUUGACUGACGGCGUUGAAUCAAUUUGUCAUGAGCUCACAGUGGUGCCUGCUCCAGGUGGAGGAUCCAUCUACAAGAACACCAGCAAGUACCACACCAAGGGCGCUGAGGUCUGUGAAGAGCACGUUAAGGGUGGCAAAGAGGAUGCUCUCGCAACGUUCAAGGCUAUUGAAGCCUACGUCCUGGCCCAUCCUGAUGCCUAUUAAGUUUCCUGUCACGUUCUAUUGAGUAAGAGAUACUAGUCUCUUGAGUGCUCUACCUUCAUAGCAUCAGUCAAAGUGUGGAACUUUUGUGUUUUUGCCAUAUGGCCAAAGUAGCCUCGGCUUAAAAAUAAGAUUUUCCUAGGUGUGAACCUUGGUGUACUUGUAAUGUUUUGUUGGAAUGAAGAGUCAUGGUUGUAUUACCUCAAUAAAUAUAAUGAAAAUCAUCUUCUUAUGUUGUAUUACCUUAAUAAAUAUAAUGAAAAUCAUCUUCUUAUUAAGUGAUCAUAUAUAUUUGAAUUGACAUGAUUGGGUUAUUGCUUUUAUUUCAGAAAUUUUCAGGAAAACUUGAUACGUUCUGCAUAAAGCCUUUCUUUUCUUAUCUAAAUUUAUUCGAGACCUAACUCUAGCAACAUUCUAAAGCAUAGAAAUUGAAAGAAACAAAAAACAAUGAGGCCAGUAAUUAAUUUGGAAGAAACCCUACUUUCAAUUUUUGUUUUUAUUGCUUUAAUCAACAUUGAGUUAGCAUUCGUAUAAAGGGUAAUUCAUCAUAUGAUUUUCCACACUAAACUCAAAAGAAAAAAAUGGUUGAUAUGUGUUUCUUAUAUGUAUAUCCUAAAUUUGUACAGCUACAUACACCUUAGUAUUGAUAAGGUAUGUGUAUCCCAAACUGUUUUUGGAACCAAGUACUUUGUAUUUUUGUUGAAGGUCCUCCAAAAAAUGGUGUACGGAUUGGCAUUCCUGUAAUUGUUCUCUGAA